AUUGAACGCUGGCGGCAGGCUUAACACAUGCAAGUCGAGCGGGGUGAUGGUGCUUGCACUAUCACUUAGCGGCGGACGGGUGAGUAAUGCUUAGGAAUCUGCCUAUUAGUGGGGGACAACAUCUCGAAAGGGAUGCUAAUACCGCAUACGUCCUACGGGAGGAAGCAGGGGAUCACUUGUGACCUUGCGCUAAUAGAUGAGCAUAAGUCGGAUUAGCUAGUUGGUGGGGUAAAGGCCUACCAAGGCGACGAUCUGUAGCGGGUCUGAGAGGAUGAUCCGCCACACUGGGACUGAGACACGGCCCAGACUCCUACGGGAGGCAGCAGUCGGGAAUAUUGGACAAUGGGGGGAACCCUGAUCCAGCCAUGCCGCGUGUGUGAAGAAGGCCUUAUGGUUGUAAAGCACUUUAAGCGAGGAGGAGGCUCUUUUGGUUAAUACCCAAGAUGAGUGGACGUUACUCGCAGAAUAAGCACCGGCUAACUCUGUGCCAGCAGCCGCAGUAA
rnacentral:rRNA from 1 species